rnacentral:tRNA from 2 species
GGGGCUUUAGCUCAGAUGGGAGAGCGCCUGCUUUGCACGCAGGAGGUCAGCGGUUCGAUCCCGCUAAGCUCCACCA